UAGUAGGAGCAACAUGGAGGCGGAGCCUGACGCUUGGGUCCAGAUUGGACGAACUGUAGGGGGGCGGGGGUUAACGGCCGUAGAGAAUCCUGGGGCUGAGCGCGAAUCUGGAUCUGUCAGCGGUAACACCAGGGAUUCCCGUUAAAAAUUUGGCAGUUAUCUUCGGAGUCCUCCCUGAGAAAGAGCAGCAGCCCUGGUGAAUUCACGUUGGCAAUCAGGGCUGAAACAAAUCUUCCUAGGAGUUUUCAUGCUUAACUCGUUUUUUUUUGUUUUUGUUUUUGUUUUUGUUUUUUAGCAGUGUUACUACCCUCUCCCCCAAAGAAACCUUAUGCAGAGCCCCAUGAUAUGAAACUGUUUUUCCACCUGAA